UGUAACUCGAUUGAAUAUGUAGGCCUCUC
rnacentral:sRNA from 1 species